CCCUGCGUGUUUACUUGAACAUCCAUUAGAAUGAGGCUGUGCUCACAGUGUCCUCAGGCUUCUCUUUGAGGGGAGCUUCUCUAGGAAUGACUGGUUGUUAUUGCAUUUUUCACCUUGAGUUCCAACUUUAAAGUAGGACCUGCUUUCACAGAUUUAUUUAUUUUUAUUUAUGUAUUUAUUUGUUUUAGGUGUAGCUCCUUUCUGUCUCCUCUACAGACUCUGUUCUCCUUGCAUAUGUUGGAGAACACUUUUUGCUUGAGUGUGUCACUGCUAUAAUUUCUGUAACUGCUCAUUGCAGCACUGGUUUACCCUUGUGCAAAAUUUGACUUUGCACCUUGAAGAAAUGUCCCAUGCUUUAGUGCUGAGUGUACUCAAGUUCCUUCCCUGCUUGCCAAUACCUGUAUUUAAGGAGAGCAGCCAGUGCUGGCCCUCAGAAGGUUCUGCCCACGAAGAAGCCAAGUCCAUCUUCUUCAGCAACUUCGUUUGAGCCUGACUUUGCAUUAUAGCAGAAAUAUGUGGCUUCCUAAAGAGUCUGACUAUUCCCACUUUUGUGACCUCAGAUCUGUGGCCUAGGAUGCCAGGGGACUGAAGAGCCAUAUUUUGUUCCAUGAUCAGAAUAUCAAAGCUCCUCCAUACUUGGCUCUGUCAUUGGUUUAGCUGUGUGCUCUUAGAGUUUUGCCUGCGAUGUCCACAUAAGAAGGUGGACGCUCCUGUGGGUGAGCCAACUCCCCAUCAAGAAAAUGGACUGUCUUCAGCAUGGCUGGAAGCUUUUCCAAAUGUCUUUGUUUGGCAGCUUGCGAUCCCCUCAAUAGGCCCACAUUCUUUCAGAUACCACUUCUAGUGUCCUAGAGAGGGUGAGAUGCCCAGAAAAAUGUUCAAAGAUCAUCUGAAAACAUGAAGGCUGCAUGAUUGGAGAGACUGAAUGCUGAUCUGUGGUGCAAAGGCAUUUUGUCAUGAUGUUGUUUGAGCAUGUGUCUCUCA